GACGAACCGUGCGAACGUUGUUCGGAAUCACUGGGCUUAAAGGGCGCGUAGGCGGACUGCCAAGUCGGGGGUGAAAUCUUUCGGCCCAACCGGAAAAGGGCCUCCGAUACUGGCAGCCUCGAGGGAGGUAGGGGCCGACGGAACUUCCGGUGGAGCGGUGAAAUGCGUAGAUAUCGGAAGGAACGCCGGUGGCGAAAGCGGUCGGCUGGA
rnacentral:rRNA from 1 species